rnacentral:sRNA from 1 species
GACCAUCAGAAUCAUGCAAUGUUGAUAUCGUGUUUACGCCGUGGACCGUAACAAAAAGGGGAGCCCAAAUCUCGUCGAUUGCCUGGAAUUUUCAAAUUCGAACAACCCAAUCGAAAAUCAUCGGCCCGUACGAAUCUAUCUAGUAUUGCGCAAACAGGAAUCUCAAGUCCAAAUUUCUCCCACAUUGCUAAGCGGAAAUAUGGGAAUGAGGGAUGUGGACGAGAGGGUGUUGUUAAACAGGGAGAGAUUAGGCAUACUUACACCUAUAGCAAUGUGGCCCAAACGCAUUAACCCUACGAGAGCCUGAAAAAAAGCAGUCAUAUUUACGAACGACCAGGCUCCCACAUGACGUUUCAAGUCCCUUUUGAAGACCUAGAUUAUCUUCUUUUACGAUCGCAUUGCACACCGUGGCCUUGGCUUUGUUAUUCCUAUUCGCCCGUUCUGCUAGAUAUCAGAAUACUAUGUAUUAAAAAAACAAAAGUCAAAAUGAUGGACGACACGUAAAAAUCCGUGGAGGAACUACGCAGCAAAAAUAUCUGCAUCAAAAAUCUUCUGUGGGCUAGUUCUUGUCUUUUAAUCUUGUUUUCCCGCCUCCAUUUCUUCUUCUGUCAAAUAUCCACCUUUUACAUCUGGAAAAGCAGGAUUGCGCGCCUCUAUCUAUAGGGCUAGACGAAGAUCCGUCGGACGCCAUGAGCGAUGGAGGCGUUUUGAGUGGCUUUGUGACUUCCUGCACUCCUUUCCAUUACUUCCGAAGGGAGAAAUGGAAUGAUCUGGGCGGGUGCUUGUCCUAGCAUGGGACAUAAAUUAUAUCUAUAUUUAUAUGUAUAUAUGUAUGUAGGCAGGGACUCGAAGAAGCUGUGGCUCCAGUCAUUAAGCACAUCUCCCAGAAUAGCAUACCUUUCUCGGGCUGACUACUAGUUAACAACAGUGAUACAAGGAGAACAUCUAAUUGGCAGAGUAAAAAUCAGGA